rnacentral:rRNA from 1 species
AGUGAACGCUGGCGGUAGGCCUAACACAUGCAAGUCGAACGGCAGCACAGUAAGAGCUUGCUCUUACGGGUGGCGAGUGGCGGACGGGUGAGGAAUACAUCGGAAUCUACUUUUUCGUGGGGGAUAACGUAGGGAAACUUACGCUAAUACCGCAUACGACCUACGGGUGAAAGCAGGGGAUCUUCGGACCUUGCGCGAUUGAAUGAGCCGAUGUCGGAUUAGCUAGUUGGCGGGGUAAAGGCCCACCAAGGCGACGAUCCGUAGCUGGUCUGAGAGGAUGAUCGGCCACAUUGGAACUGAGACACGGUCCAGACUCCUACGGGAGGCAGCAGUGGGGAAUAUUGGACAAUGGGCGCAAGCCUGAUCCAGCCAUACCGCGUGGGUGAAGAAGGCCUUCGGGUUGUAAAGCCCUUUUGUUGGGAAAGAAAAGCAGCAGGUUAAUACCCCGCUGUUCUGACGGUACCCAAAGAAUAAGCACCGGCUAACUUCGUG